GGAGGGGUUCCCGAGCGGCCAAAGGGAUCAGACUGUAAAUCUGACGGCUCUGCCUUCGCUGGUUCGAAUCCGAUGCCGCGAUCCCCA
rnacentral:tRNA from 1 species